UACGUAGGUGGCAAGCGUUUGUUCGGAAUUAUUGGGCGUAAAGGGCGCGUAGGCGGUUUGGUAAGUCAGCUGUGAAAGCCCGGGGCUCAACCCCGGAGGGUCGGCUGAUACUGCUAGGCUAGAGUACGGAAGAGGUAGCUGGAAUUCCCGGUGUAGCGGUGAAAUGCGUAGAUAUCGGGGAGGAACACCUGAGGCGAAGGCGGGCUACUGGGCCGAUACUGACGCUGAUGCGCGAAAGCCAGGGGAGCAAAGCGGGG
rnacentral:rRNA from 1 species